rnacentral:rRNA from 2 species
AAAGAAACCAACCGGGAUUGCCUCAGUAACGGCGAGUGAAGCGGCAAGAGCUCAAAUUUGAAAGCUGGCCCCUUCGGGGUCCGCAUUGUAAUUUGCAGAGGAUGCUUCGGGUGCAGCCCCCGUCUAAGUGCCCUGGAAUGGGCCGUCAGAGAGGGUGAGAAUCCCGUCUGGGAUGGGGUGCCUGUGCCCGUGUGAAGCUCCUUCGACGAGUCGAGUUGUUUGGGAAUGCAGCUCUAAAUGGGUGGUAAAUUUCAUCUAAAGCUAAAUAUUGGCCGGAGACCGAUAGCGCACAAGUAGAGUGAUCGAAAGAUGAAAAGCACUUUGAAAAGAGAGUUAAACAGCACGUGAAAUUGUUGAAAGGGAAGCGCUUGCGACCAGACUCGCCUCCGGGGUUCAGCCGGCAUUCGUGCCGGUGUACUUCCCCGGGGGCGGGCCAGCGUCGGUUUGGGCGGCCGGUCAAAGGCCUCCGGAAUGUAGCGCCCUUCGGGGCGCCUUAUAGCCGGGGGUGCAAUGCGGCCAGCCUGGACCGAGGAACGCGCUUCGGCUCGGACGCUGGCAUAAUGGUCGUAAACGAC